rnacentral:rRNA from 1 species
UACGAAGGGGGCUAGCGUUGCUCGGAAUCACUGGGCGUAAAGCGCACGUAGGCGGGUCCUUAAGUCGGGGGUGAAAUCCUGGAGCUCAACUCCAGAACUGCCUUCGAUACUGGGGAUCUCGAGUCCGGGAGAGGUGAGUGGAACUCCGAGUGUAGAGGUGAAAUUCGUAGAUAUUCGGAAGAACACCAGUGGCGAAGGCGGCUCACUGGCCCGGUACUGACGCUGAGGUGCGAAAGCGUGGGGAGCAAACAGG